GUCUGAGUUUGUUACCUUCCAAGGGACUCAUAGAGGUUUCUGGAGACGUCUGGAAGGAACAGCUGGCUGGCCUGUGGUCCCUCACCUGGAUGACCAGAGUUCUUCUGCAGAAGCCAGGGGAGACUUUGCUGACGGGCAUGCUCUGGGCCCUGAAGUCUCCUCUGGCCAAAUUUACAUGUACUUGGCUGUCCAGGACCAGAAAGGUCCAGACACCUGGACUGAUUUCUGAGGUCACACUGACUUUUCCACGCUAAUGAGACAGGGAACCUAGCACAGUUCUAGGUAAUCAACUCACAUCAGGCAAAAAGAUAAAAGGAAACAGGUAAACUACCAUGAAGAGGAAAGAGCAGGAACCAAUUCUGCAGGUGGGGACAGCGAGUAUACUUCAUUGGACUGGAGUACAGGCAGGCAAGGAGAGGAAGAGCCUCAAGGUGAAUAAAGGAGGGCCCUGAGCAUUUCAACUUAAGCUGAAAACCCAAGGCACUGGUAUUCCCCUCUGUGGAGAGACAGUGGCUCUCCUCCAAGUGGUUUUCCCUCCAGGGGACAUUCGACAUGCUUGGUUCUCAAAACUGGGCCGAGGUGGGCACCACUGGCAUCUGGUGGACAUCUAGAGGCCAAGGAUGCUGUUAAACAUCCUACAAUGCACAGGACACAGCCAAGAUUUAUCCAGCCCCCGAUGUCAAUGGCACUAAGGUUGAGAAACCCCGAUCUAGAGUCAUCAAAUGCAGCUGGUAUAAUUAGAGCUUUUCUUCAUGAAGAUUAAUGUAUGCAAAAGCAGUUUUGGCUAGGAGGGGGUGACUGAGACAGGGAGGCCAGUGGCUGGUGAUUAUAGUGUCUACGGAGGAAAGGAUGAGUCUAUCGAUGCAAAUUGGGCCUUUGCGUUCUGCUUGAAGGAAGCGGGAGGAAAAGCACAGUGACAGAAUUCUGAACAAGUGGUCCAAAAUUACCCUGAUCUGAUGAAGUGGGAAAAGUACUGCAUGAUUUUCAGCGACAGGCUCUUCUCCUCCAGAGAAAACUGCCCCUCGUAGGCUGGGUAGAAGGGAAGCCCCAAGGCAAACUGAACAUCCGCCAGCAGCUCCAGGCUGAGAAAACAGAGGAAAAGCAGCAGCAAAAGGUCAAGAGAAAGUAAACUACUCAAAAACACAAACACACAAACAAAAAUAUUUCUUCCAAAACCAAGACUUUCCCUUCUUUAUAUCAUAUCCAAGUAUCCUGUUUAGGGCCCAGUUGAAUGGAGAUUUGGCUUGGCCUAAAUUUAGUGCAGUGGCCCCUUGCGGGGAGAUCCAUGGCAUGUCUGUUGCUAAAGUGAGACCAACACGGAACACUGAAGUCUCUGGAAAUAAUGCCUGCGAGAAACCUCCCAACACAAUGAUUUUUGGGUCAUAUUCUAACCACGAUACUUAUGGUAUCACUGGAUAUUGGUGUUCUUCUAGUCACUGAAAAAGCAAUAAUGAAAGUAGCUUGUAUUUGAGCCCAUUCUCCGCACUAGCCUGUGUUCAUAUACAACUCACACUCUUAUGACUUUUCAAGGAAGACAUUUAUCCAUGAAGCCCACCGCAGCACAGUACCUGGCAAAUAGGAGUUAUUCAAUAAAUACAUGCUAGACUGGAUUAAAUAUCUAGGAAGCAGCAUCCUGGUGGGAAUAAUGACUUGGAAGCCAGUCCAGUGGUGUGAAUGGCCUGGGCUGGAGCUGGUGCUGAGGAGCCUGGUACAUGGGCCAUGGAGUGAGCACUGGGAACCAGGGAGAGUGGUAGAGUGGAAAAGCCAGGAUGGAUUUCACCACUGCAUAGUAAAAAAUCGGGCUUUGCCCAAAGAGAGGUCUGGACUUUGCCUUUGGCUUCUGGAAGGUGAGUCAUACCCCACUGCCGGUCUUGUUGAAGCUGUCUUGUUUCUCAAUCACCACACUCCCUCUGCGGUGGCGACAGAGAAGCCAGGAGGCCCAGGGUUAAUAGGGGCCCCCCUCCUCUUUCUUCCUCCAGUGAUGUCUGGCCGACUUUCUCCCCACUGGGGAUUAGUCCUUCUCCUCACAGUGGGAUGAAAGGUUCAACAGCCUGUUUCUCGGGAGGCGCUUCUGGAAAACUGGCUGUAUUAAUUCUCUAUUGCUGCCCUAAGAAAUUACCACAAACUCAGUGGCUUAAAACAACACAAAUUACUAUCUGACAAUGUCUGGAGUUCAGAAAUCCAGGAUCGAUCUUAGUGGACUGAAAUCAAAGGGUGAGUGGUCUGCGUUCCUUCUGAAAGCCCUGGGGAGAAUACUUCUCUUGACCAUUCAAAGUUGUGAAAGGAUUCCGUUCCUUGAGGUAGAGGACCCAGGCCCCCGUUUUCCUGCUGGCUACAAACUGAGGGCCAUUCCCAGUCACUAGAGGCUGCCGAUCAGAACUGCCUUCCUCCAUCCUCAGUGGCCAAGUCCUUCUGAUGCUGCAUUUCUUUGGAACACUCCCCUGCUUAGAGCACUCAUGUGAUUAAAUUGAGCUUACCAGGAUAAGCUCCCAUCUCAAGGUCUUGAACCUUAGUCACACCUGCAAAGUUCUUUUGCCAUGGAAGGUAACACAGUCACAGGUUUCAGGGUUUAGGACUUGGACAUUUUGCGGGGGUAUAACUGUUACUACAAUAGCCUGGUCUACUGUUUCCUCCAGAGGAAGCUGCAUUCCAAGUAUUCUAGUGAACAGAAAUAAACUUUAAAGGCCAGAGUGCUCUGUUGAAACCCCAGCUCAGUCACUGACUAGUGUGCAAUCUUGGACAAGCUGUCUAAUGUCUCUGGGUCUGAGUGUCCUCCUCUGUAAA
rnacentral:lncRNA from 1 species